UACGAAGGGGGCUAGCGUUGCUCGGAAUUACUGGGCGUAAAGGGCGCGUAGGCGGACAGUUUAGUCAGAGGUGAAAGCCCAGGGCUCAACCUUGGAAUAGCCUUUGAUACUGGCUGUCUUGAGUUCGGGAGAGGUGAGUGGAAUGCCGAGUGUAGAGGUGAAAUUCGUAGAUAUUCGCAAGAACACCAGGGGCGAAGGCGGCUCACUGGCCCGGUACUGACGCUGAGGUGCGAAAGCGUGGGGAGCAAACAGG
rnacentral:rRNA from 1 species